AUGAACCGCAAGAAGCUGCAGAAGCUGACGGACACCCUGACCAAAAGCAGCCGGCACUUUAACAAAUUUGAAGUGAAAAGACUCAUCAAGCUUUUUUAUACCUUGGUGGGAGAAGCAUCGGAGCGGCCGGGCUCCGUCCCUGGACUUGACCGCAAUGCGUUCCGGAACAUCCUGCACACCACAUUUGGAAUGACAGAUGACAUGAUCAUGGACAGAGUAUUCCGAGGUUUUGAUAAAGAUAACGAUGGCUCCAUAAGUGUAUCAGAGUGGGUUCAUGGAUUAUCAUUGUUCCUUAGAGGAUCGUUAGAAGAAAAGAUGAAAUAUUGCUUUGAAGUGUUUGAUUUGAAUGGUGAUGGCUUCAUUUCAAAAGAGGAAAUGUUUCACAUGUUGAAGAACAGCCUUCUCAAACAGCCAUCUGAAGAAGACCCUGAUGAAGGAAUUAAAGAUUUGGUUGAAAUAACACUUAAGAAAAUGGACCAUGACCACGAUGGAAAGCUGUCUUUUGCAGACUAUGAGAAAGCUGUGCGCGAAGAGACUCUUUUGCUAGAGGCCUUUGGACCUUGCCUACCGGACCCAAAGAGUCAAAUGGAAUUUGAAGCCCAAGUAUUCAAAGAUUCAAAUGAAUUCCAAGAUUGACUUCCUAAGUAAGUUGUUUUACGGUACAAGCAACACUUCUGUGACAGGAGGCGUCUUGGUAGAUGUUGGUUUGGCAAAGGGACCACCGGUUGAAGCACAAACCUGUCAUCAAAUCUCUGGAUCCACUAGAAUAAUGGGCAGAUUAUAAAAUCACCAAUCAUGACAAACCCAGUUCUCGUGCCAGAAAAUACUGGGAUGUAUACUGAAUCAUUGAAUCUAUGUCCUUCAUAGCUAUUAUUAAGAUGAUACAAAAAGGGCUACAACAUUGGCAUUUUUCAUUGAACCACCUUUUCCUAAGGCAUUGGAGGCAGCAGAGAUGGAAGACACCCAGAGCCUCUUUCAACUUGAUUUCCGUGAUCGAGGCGGCUCUUGCCUUACCAGCAGAGGGCACGGACUCCGUCUGCACGCAGCUUUCCAUUUGCCAUAGCGGUUGUCCUCUGCAUGGAGCGGAUGCCCAAGGAGUAGGCGCCGACCGCAAAGAAAUCUACACGCGCACGCACGCACGUUCACUAACGAUGCUCUGUGCAGGGGAGCGCUCCAGGGGUGCAACUCUAGACCCGCUAGC